AUUGAACGCUGGCGGCAUGCCUUACACAUGCAAGUCGAACGGUAACAGGUUAAGCUGACGAGUGGUGAACGGGUGAGUAAUAUAUCGGAACGUGCCCAGUCGUGGGGGAUAACUGCUUGAAAGAGCAGCUAAUACCGCAUACGACCUGAGGGUGAAAGCGGGGGAUCGCAAGACCUCGCGCGAUUGGAGCGGCCGAUAUCAGAUUAGGUAGUUGGUGGGUAAAGGCCUACCAAGCCGACGAUCUGUAGCUGGUCUGAGAGGACGACCAGCCACACUGGGACUGAGACACGGCCCAGACUCCUACGGGAGGCAGCAGUGGGGAAUUUUGGACAAUGGGCGCAAGCCUGAUCCAGCAAUGCCGCGUGCAGGAAGAAGGCCUCGGUUG
rnacentral:rRNA from 1 species